rnacentral:misc_RNA from 1 species
AAUUUAUACCACCACCACCUUUUUUUAAUCUUGGCAGUAUUUGCUUUUAUCCAAUCAAACAGUUUUAGUAAGCUUUGUUUUAUUAUUUUAUGAUUCAUUUUGUUUAAAAUAUACAUGUACAAUGUAAUAACUAAAUAUAUUAUUUUCUUAAACAUUUUAAAUGUCAUGUAUUACCCGAAUUAGCAGAUUUUUAGACAAAUUUUUAAUGUCCCUUUUUAUGCACUUAAAAUGUCUUGGUUGCUUUUAAGUAUCCAUUCCUUCAAUUUUAAUAAAUUUUUAAUUAUCUGAAUCACUUAUUUAUCAUUUUGUUUGGCCGAGUUUUUGUGUGAUUGGUCUCCAUGCACAUCAGUACAUUUUACUUAUAUAUAGAACUAUGUUGUGGUCUUUUUUCACAUUGAAGUCCCUGGGUCAGAAUUUGUUCACUGUGUUCUGAGUGAACUACUGUCCUAUCAUCAAGCCCUGAUUUCCUACUCAUCAUUAUAAGGUUGUACAUGUGUUGUCCCCUCAUUCUGAAGUUUGUUCCGUGUAUCUUAAAUCUGAUUGUGUGUCAUAUAACUUUGUCAAGUUUUUGUACAGUUCAGCUUUAACCAAAGAUUUUGUACUUGGUGGUCAAUCUGGUAUAUUUGCUGGCAGCCGCGGCUCCAGUGAAUUUUUUUCCCUCAUAUCUUCAUAAAUAUAUAUUAUAAUUCAGUCCAAUUUUUGUGAGACAGGUUGUAUGAUAUUUGAAAAAAAUUAAAAUGCAUGAGGAGAAUAAGCAAUAAAAUGUAUGAAAACU